GACGAACGCUGGCGGCGUGGAUUAGGCAUGCAAGUCGGACGGUAGAGCUUUAUCGUAAGAUAGAGUUUGAGAGUGGCGAACGGGUGAGUAACACGUAGGAAUCUACCCUUAAGACGGGGACAACCCAGGGAAACUUGGGCUAAUACCGGAUGAGAGUGCGAGAGAUUGCAUUUAAAAGGAUGGCGAAAGUUGUCGCUUAGGGAUGAGCCUGCGGUCUAUUAGUUAGUUGGUGAGGUAAGAGCUCACCAAGGCGAUGAUAGAUAGGCGGCCUUAACGGGUGGUCGCCCACACUGGGAUUGAGAUACGGCCCAGACUCCUACGGGAGGCAGCAGUGGGGAAUAUUGCGCAAUGGAGGAAACUCUGACGCAGCAACGCCGCGUGAAGGAUGAAGGUUUUCGGAUUGUAAACUUCUUUGAUCGGGGACGAAAUAGACGGUACCCGAGGAACAAGCCACGGCUAACUACGUG
rnacentral:rRNA from 1 species